rnacentral:rRNA from 1 species
UACGUAGGUGGCAAGCGUUGUCCGGAAUUAUUGGGCGUAAAGCGCGCGCAGGCGGUCCUUUAAGUCUGAUGUGAAAGCCCACGGCUCAACCGUGGAGGGUCAUUGGAAACUGGGGGACUUGAGUGCAGGAGAGAAGAGUGGAAUUCCACGUGUAGCGGUGAAAUGCGUAGAGAUGUGGAGGAACACCAGUGGCGAAGGCGACUUCCUGGCCUGUUCUUGACGCUGAGGCGCGAAAGCUAGGGGAGCAAACGGG